UGUUGACAAGCUAAGCUCUGAUUAUUCACCAACUCUGCUGGAACUCAAGCUUCUUGAUGAUGGAGACUUUUUCAGGGCUUGGGGUGGCAUUGCAGGGGAAUUUGCAGUUUGUUCUUCCCGUGACAUGGUCAUAUGGCCAGAAAUAUAGAGUGACUUUAGAACAUCUAGCUUUAUGGUAGAGUGAAAGGCCCGUCAGGCUUGCCGGACAAGAAUUGAAGGGAGCAAUUGCAAUUGGGAACCAUGCAGAUAUGGUAGUGUGGGAUCCAGAUGUGGAGUUGUCUUAUUUUCGUAUUUGGCAGGUCCAUAGUUGUCAUAGACUGUCUUCUGCAUUUUUAUAGGGAUUUUUUAGAACACUUGUGACCUUAAACGGUACUAUGAUCUUCCAAGGACAAGCAACAGAACCCACGGUUGUGGUUGAAGCUUAUAAAGUUCUAC